rnacentral:misc_RNA from 1 species
GAUGAAGAACGUAGUGAAAUGCGAUACGUAAUGUGAAUUGCAGAAUUCAGUGAAUCAUCGAAUCUUUGAACGCAUAUUGCGCUCUCUGGUAUUCCGGAGAGCAUGCUUGUUUGAGUAUCAGUAAACACCUCAACUUCCAUAUCUUUUUUGAAAUGGGAGUUGGACUUGAGUGAUCCCAACGCUUUUCCUCACCGAAAAGUGGCGGGUUACUUGAAAUGCAGGUGCAGCUGGACUUUUCUCUGAGCUAUAAGCAUAUCUAUUUAGUCUGCCUAAAAAACAGAUUAUUACCUUUGCUGCAGCUAACAUAAAGGAGAUUAGUUCUUGUGCUGACUGAUGCAGGAUUCACAAAGACAGGCUUCGGCCGACUUUGUAAACUCGAUCUCAAAUCAAGUAAGACUACCCGCUGAACUUAAGCAUAUCAAUAAGCGGGGA